rnacentral:rRNA from 1 species
CCUACGGGUGGCAGCAGUGGGGAAUAUUGCUCAAUGGGCGAAACUCUGAUGCAGCGACGCCGCGUGCAGGAAGAAGGCUUUCGGUAUGUAAACCUCUAUUAGUAGGGAAGUAAAUGCCGGUACCUGACUCUGUAGCCCCGGCUAACUACGUGCCAGCAGCCGCGGUAAUACGUAGGGGGUAAGCGUUAUCCGGAUUUACUGGGUGUAAAGGGAGCGUAGGCGGUUUAGCAAGUCAGAAGUGAAAGCCCGGGGCUCAACUCCGGGACUGCUUUUGAAACUGUUGAACUAGAUUGCAGGAGAGGUAAGUGGAAUGCCUGGUGUAGCGGUGAAAUGCGUAGAUAUUA